rnacentral:rRNA from 1 species
CCUACGGGAGGCAGCAGUGAGGAAUAUUGGUCAAUGGGCGCGAGCCUGAACCAGCCAAGUCGCGUGAAGGAUGACUGCCCUACGGGUUGUAAACUUCUUUUAUAAAGGAAUAAAGUGAGGCACGUGUGCCUUUUUGUAUGUACUUUAUGAAUAAGGAUCGGCUAACUCCGUGCCAGCAGCCGCGGUAAUACGGAGGAUCCGAGCGUUAUCCGGAUUUAUUGGGUUUAAAGGGAGCGUAGAUGGGUUGUUAAGUUAGUUGUGAAAGUUUGCGGCUCAACUGUAAAAUUGCAAUUGAUACUGGCAGCCUUGAGUACAGUUGAGGUAGGCGGAAUGUGUGGUGUAGCGGUGAAAUGCUUAGAGAUCACGAAGAACUCCGAUUGCGAAGGCAGCUUACUAAACUGCCACUGACAUUGAUGCUCGAAAGUGUGGGUAUCAAACAGGAUUAGAUACCCGUGUAGUC